UGGGGAAUCUUGCACAAUGGGGGAAACCCUGAUGCAGCGACGCCGCGUGAGCGAUGAAGGUUUUCGAAUCGUAAAGCUCUGUCCUAUGGGAAGAUAAUGACGGUACCAUGGGAGGAAGCCCCGGCUAACUACGUGCCAGCAGCCGCGGUAAUACGUAGGGGGCGAGCGUUGUCCGGAAUUACUGGGCGUAAAGGGUUCGCAGGCGGCAUGGCAAGUCCGAUGUAAAAGGCGAAGGCUCAACCUUCGUAAGCAUCGGAAACUGUCAAGCUUGAGUGAAGGAGAGGCAAGUGGAAUUCCUAGUGUAGCGGUGGAAUGCGUAGAUAUUAGGAGGAAUACCGGUGGCGAAGGCGACUUGCUGGACUUAAACUGACGCUGAGGAACGAAAGCGUGGGUAGCAAACAGG
rnacentral:rRNA from 1 species